GUCCUCAUUUUCAACUACUAGAAUAUCAACAUCACCAGUAAUGACACGUCCAGCUGGACUAUAUCAUAUAGUUGAAGGAAGACGAAGAACAAGAGCACGUGGAUGGAUUAAGUAUAGAAUGGUGUAUAUCUAGGCACUGCAAAGUUUGUUUAUAAUUAAAAAGUUUGGAUGCAAUAGUAGAAGUAUAUUUGUAGGAAAUACUGGGUGUAGACUUGAACUUGAAAUAAGUUGGAAUAUAAGAUUGAACUCUUUUAUGACGAAGAAUGUUGCUUAUGUUGACGGUAUCUAUUCCUUUGUUUGUAAAUUCAAAGUUGAACUUAAGGAACUGGCGGCAUGAUUCAGAAGGAAUAUCAUUCAUGACCCGCGGUGAUUUAAAGAUUUUGGCAACAUCCAUAAUCAUGGAGUUCAGUCUAUAUUCAGGUGUUGAAAAAUUCAAGUAUAUAGACUAGCUGUGGCAUCUUCAAAUAACGUACGUAAAACUCCCAAUGACAUCAUUUAUACGUGGUCCAUGACUGCGUUUCCGUUUUUCGAGUAUUUGGAAAGAGUCCCAUCACAUUCACGUUAUUUCCUUGUGGAAUAGUCAAAUUUCCUACAUCGUAUACAUUAUCAUUGCAUCCAUAUGGAAAUGCAGUACGUUUAGAGUCCUGAUCCAGUGAUCUUCUCGCUGUGUAUGAAAAGGGGUACUUAGGUUUGAUUGUUUGUAUGAUGGUAUUUUUCUUCUUCUAGAAUUCUGACCCAUCGACAAGGCGGAGUGGCUGUGAAAGUGAUGUCAACCAUUUUACCCCCUCAAAAUCUCUCAAUGGCAUAUGAAUCCUUUCACAAAAUCGUUGUAAUGAUUAAAGAUAUCUUCAAUUGAAUUAAAGAGACAAUCAAAUCACUCAUACUGAACUCCAUAUUAAUUUAAAAUCUUGAAUUUCCACAAGAUGGUCAUUAAUAAAGUCCGAGCUACAUGUAACAUUGAAACUUGCGUAACGCACCUUCUUGUGAGAAAAUGGACAUCGUAACUAUUCGGCCACUUUCGUAACAGCUAAUACCGGUUACGGAAAACGACGAAUGUGAUUCAAUUGGUUUCUACCCACUUGAGGAGGAAUGCUACACCAGAGAAACUUUAGAUGGAUGAAAAGUGGAUGAUAUGUGCAACAGUACAUAUUUUGAAAUUGAAAACUUUCAAAUUUACUUUAUCUAUAAAAACUAAUCUAGGAUGCAGUUUUGCUGUAGAUCUAGUUGAAAGCAAUCUGGGAGAAAAAAUUCAAAACCCUUGCUGGACUCAAACCCGCGAUCUACAGUUCAGCAGUCAACUUGCUAACCUACUGAGCCACUCAGCUGGUCUAUUGCUGAUAUCUAUAUUUUCAUCCAUUUUUAAGUCGGCCGUUGCACGACGAUGCAGAGUGUAUAAAAAAAAAGAUUUGCAUCUUGAAGUGGGCACAUAUCAUGUAAAAGAUGAAAAUAUUCCGUUUACAAUUUUAUUUUCGUCUCAAGUUUUAUAAUCAAAGAAAUAUUUUAAUAUAUUUUUUAAUAUAAAACAUUUUAUUAACAUCGGGCUCAAUAUGUUCAGUAUUGUUUACAUGUUUUAAAGCACUGCAUAGUAGCAGACGAAGUUAUGGAAAUGAGCGGACAACAUUUAAAGUUAUAUAAUUAUAAUCUGCCGUUUGGAAAGUAAGUAAUGAAUUGUGUAUAUCUUGAGAAUAAAUUUUGAUAUUCUGGUCCCUUUGAAGCAUUUCAGAGGGCGGAGGACAGAACUCCAGAAUUUUUGUAGUAAGUUCAGAAAAAUGGGCGUAGAAAGCAAAUAGUAAUACCGCUUGAGGACCAAUACUUCUGUACAUGGAUAAACACUAUAUUUUCUCUUUUUCUUUUUUUUUAGCAAAUCAAAGGGGCUUGCUCACUAAGCAUGAAAUUAACGUACAAACAACAGAGCCUCGAGAACUGCAGUUAGGAGAAAUCAGUUACUUAGCGGAAAUGGAGAAAAUGCUGCAGCAUAUGAAGACAAAACGCUACAGAAGAAUCUUUAUGAUGAAAGGUAUUCACUGAAAUUUACAAAGAACCACAACAAGAUGGAAAAUAUCGCAAAUACUAAUAGCCAUAUUGGUUUCUGGGCCUAAAGUGUAUUCUCCUUUCACCUAGAGUCCCACAGACUUGCCGUGGGAUGAGCAUGAUCCCUAUCAAUAAAAUGUAAGGUGAAAAGGUCUAAAGUCAAGUGAAGAACACACUGGUCAAAAGCAAUUUAUUUCCACUUCUAGUCACCUGUCAUGAAAAAACGACCCCUUUUGAUUUUGGGAUCAAAAUGUCAAGGAUCAAAUAUGCUGGACACUAAUACAAGAAAAUAGUGUCCCUUUUCACUUGAAAUCACAAAACUUCACACAACAGAUUCACCAUGGGAUGAGGAAGACCUCUAUCAAGCAAACUCUGAGAUAGGAAAAUGGUCUCCGAGUUACUGAUAUGGUUUAUCCUUCCACCUGUGUUCAGAAUAAAUAUGUAUCAAAGAAAUAUAACACCUCUUUCAUCCAUGACCUUGAUCUUUGCCCCAUUUAUGUUCGGUAGGGGGUGUAUUGGUCUAACAAGCACAGUUUUAGUUAUGAUUGUGGUCAGCCAUCCUCAGAAAACCUAAAGGAAGAUGAUGCAUUUCCACUUAUCCAAGGAUGCUUACCCAGUAAACUUCCACAUCCCAGCUGGCUGUUACAGGCACGGUACAUACAUGUAUAUACAAUGUUAAUAACCUCUAAGUGAAGGGUUAUUUGAAUUUGUGUUUGGAAACUUAGACAGUUCAGACGGUUCUAGGUAAGAUAUGGGUAUAAAUAAAACAAUAAUUAGAUAAGAAAAUUUAAACGUGUUUAAAACAAUAUCUUAAUCAAAUGAAGUUGGGAUCAUUUUAUAUGGAAUAUAUUAUUAUGAAAUUUUUAACCAGUCCCAUAGUAUGGUCAUGCAAUACAUUUUACAACCAAAUCAUAUUACAUCAUUUAUAUAGAAACGAAAGAAAAGCUCAAAAGUCUUGGAAAAGAAGAAAGGUUUUCCAAAUACCAACAGCCAUCUAAAUGAAUUGAAAACAAAGUUUGCCAGAACAGUAUGUGAUGUUGUGAUUGAUAAUGUAAAGGGUGUUGGUGUUCCUGCUCUUCACAAUAAGGAUGUAGAAUCUGAUGUAAAAGAGAAUUUACCAGAUUAUGGCAGAAUACACACUUUAACAUCUUCUCCAAAGAAAACUGAUACAUGUGGUACACAAGAUGCAUUCUGUGUGCCUACAACUAAGACAGUAUGCAAAUCUGAUGGCCUGAACACUUCAAGUGACAACUAUCGUCCACCAAUGCCAAUUCUGACAGAAUCCUGGGAUGAUGUGGAGGAGGCCAUACACAAGCGAUGGAAGUCCAAAUGUUGGUCAUCCCUCUCUCCAGAAAAUCAUCUCCCUGAGCAGUGAUAGAUGUACCUUAUUUUUGUAUCAAGCUUAUUUUACUUUCACCCCAGUGAUACUUACCUUUCACUUGUGAGAACAUAAAGCAUUAAUUGCAUCAUUCAUUAGAAAAAUAAACAUCAUUGCUUUGCU